UGUCAAAAGUAUUUUCUUAGAAUAUUAAAAACCAGUUCGUACAAAAUUCCCUUGGUGACGUCAUACUGGGUGUAUGGUGGUCACAUUGAUAUUUCUUGAGGUUGGUACUGAACACCGGCCGCUAGCUGUCACGAAGCCGGAACGGUGAAGAGGGAAGCAUUGGUCUUGGGAGUGUCAAUAAGAAUGGCGGCCCAUUCGGGAGAAAUCUAUUAUUACCGCUGGUAAACCCUCUCUAACACCGAGAGCAGACACUUCCAAGAUUCAGUCAACCAGGGAACAAGUCUAAGGAUACAGUCCCAUUUGUUUUGUUUUGGUUCAUCAUCCUGCAUCCUCCGAGGGACAGGUUCAUUAGCUAUUGGGCAGUUGCACCACUUCGGUGUUAACUUCGUACCACGGAUUUGGUACCACACACCAAGGAUCAGUGUUGGAACGCGUGAAAAGGGGUUUGUUUUGGGGGACAAUUAUUCAUACUAGUUAAAGACUUAUACUGUUUUUUUUUUGUAAUAUUCAGGACAUUUAAGUUAGAUACACAUAAGUUCAUAAUUUAAUUACACAUAAAUAUUUUUUUCUUUCUCUACAAAUUUAAGUACAUUUUAGUUAUAAUAACCAUGCCUAACAGUUAGUACUGUUCCCCCAAAUUUAUAUAAUUCUUGGUAGAAAUUUCGAGCUCGAAGAUUCUCCCCAUACAUAUUCUUUCCCCUUGGUUCGUAUUAAUUUUAGACUUGUUUUCUCAGUUAAUUUAAAAAUAAUAUUAGUUCAAUUCACCUAAAUUUAAAAUCAUUCAACUUAUUUCAUAAUUUUUCAAUUUGUAUUAGAUUUUUGUAAAUAUUAUUUAACGUUAACUAUUAAUUUUUUUAUAUUAUAUUUGAAUAAAUCCCUAGUACCCAUCCCCUCAGGAAGGUACUAGUUUUACUUGCGAUUAUUAUUUAGAACCACUAGUCAGAAAAGGAUCUUUUGUAUCCAGUACUAAGUUGGUUCAUUUAGGGACUUGUUACCCGUCAACACAUUGAGAGUUGUAAAAUAUAUAUUAUUUACAUUAGGUAUUUUCCUUAUUCUAUUAUCAGGUAGUAUUCAAUUAGGGUCUACGUAUUAAAAUCGUACAAGUGUUAUUUGGUGAAGGGUUCAUACUAAUCUAGGUGUAAGUUGUACUUUCUGUAUUAGAGGUACCCUUAUUCAGAUUUUCUAACCUUAUUAAGAUUAUUCUUAGAUCACAUUUGUGUGAUAAUUUUUUAAUUGACUUUCACUAGUAUCAUUUUUUUGUCAUGUUAGAGUCACAGACUAGUUACUUGUCUUAACUCGGAGAUUGUGAACAUCUAGUAGUUAAAUUUAAUAAAUAUAUAUUUAUUGUG